AUUGAACGCUGGCGGCAGGCCUAACACAUGCAAGUCGAGCGGGGUUUUCGGACCUAGCGGCGGACGGGUGAGUAAUGCGUAGGAAGCUACCCGAUAGAGGGGGAUACCAGUUGGAAACGACUGUUAAUACCGCAUAAUGUCUACGGACCAAAGUGUGGGACCUUCGGGCCACAUGCUAUCGGAUGCGCCUACGUGGGAUUAGCUAGUUGGUGAGGUAAUGGCUCACCAAGGCGACGAUCUCUAGCUGGUUUGAGAGGAUGAUCAGCCACACUGGAACUGAGACACGGUCCAGACUCCUACGGGAGGCAGCAGUGGGGAAUAUUGGACAAUGGGCGCAAGCCUGAUCCAGCCAUGCCGCGUGUGUGAAG
rnacentral:rRNA from 1 species